AUAGUGUGCUGUAGUUCGUCAAUGCAUCUCCGUUUCAGAUCGCAAGGACCACAGGAAUGGUAUCAAGAGGCCCAAGAAAGGAAACAAGCCUUCCAUGCGCGGGGUGGACGCCAAGUUUGUGCGGAACAUGCGGUUUGCCAAGAGGCACAACAAGAAGGGCCUGAAGAAAAUGCGUGCGAACGAGGCCCUGCAGAAGGAGGCUGCACUGGCGGCAAAGAAGGCAUUAUAGUAAUAAUAAACGUGUCAUCACAUUCGAGGAUGCUUGAG